rnacentral:rRNA from 1 species
GACGAACGCUGGCGGCGUGCUUAACACAUGCAAGUCGAACGGAAAGGCCUCUUUCGGGGGGUACUCGAGUGGCGAACGGGUGAGUAACACGUGAGUAACCUGCCCUUGACUUUGGGAUAACUUCAGGAAACUGGGGCUAAUACCGGAUAGGAGCUCCUGCUGCAUGGUGGGGGUUGGAAAGUUUCGGCGGUUGGGGUUGGACUCGCGGCUUAUCAGCUUGUUGGUGGGGUAGUGGCUUACCAAGGCUUUGACGGGUAGCCGGCCUGAGAGGGUGACCGGCCACAUUGGGACUGAGAUACGGCCCAGACUCCUACGGGAGGCAGCAGUGGGGAAUAUUGCACAAUGGGUGGAAGCCUGAUGCAGCAACGCCGUGUGCGGGAUGACGGCCUUCGGGUUGGAAACCGCUUUCGCUCAUGACGAAGCUUUGUGUGACGGUAGUGGGUAAAGAAGCACCGGCUAACUACGUG